rnacentral:rRNA from 1 species
ACUCAAAUGAAUAGACGGGGACCCGCACAAGCGGUGGAGCAUGUUCUUUAAUUCGACGCAACGCGAAGAACCUUACCCACACUUGACAUCCUUCUUGGGAGGGGCAGAGACGCCCCUUUUCGGUUCGGCCGGGGAAGUGACAGGUGCUGCAUGGCUGUCGUCAGCUCGUGUCGUGAGAUGUUGGGUUAAGUCCCGCAACGAGCGCAACCCUUAUCGUCUGUUGCCAUCAUUAAGUUGGGCACUCUGACGAGACCGCCGGUGACAAGCCGGAGGAAGGUGGGGACGACGUCAAGUCAUCAUGGCCCUUACGUGUGGGGCUAGAAACGUGCUACAAUGGCGGUGACAGUGGGCACCUAGGCUGCGAGGCCAAGGAAAUCCCUAAAAGCCGUCUCAGUUCGGAUUAUUCUCUGCAACUCGAGAGUAUGAAGCUGGAAUCGCUAGUAAUCGUGGAUCAGCAUGCCACGGUGAAUACGUUCCCGGGUCUUGCACACACCGCCCGU